rnacentral:rRNA from 1 species
UACGAAGGGGGCUAGCGUUGCUCGGAAUCACUGGGCGUAAAGGGUGCGUAGGCGGGUCCUUAAGUCAGGGGUGAAAUCCUGGAGCUCAACUCCAGAACUGCCUUUGAUACUGAGGAGCUUGAGUCCGGGAGAGGUGAGUGGAACUGCGAGUGUAGAGGUGAAAUUCGUAGAUAUUCGCAAGAACACCAGUGGCGAAGGCGGCUCACUGGCCCGGUACUGACGCUGAGGUGCGAAAGCGUGGGGAGCAAACAGG